UAAUUUAAGGAACGUAUGAAUGCGCUGCAUACAAAACAACACAGUGUGAAAUAACAAUUCUUUAUAUAUUGCUUUGAAAUUAAUAUAAAAAUUGUACGAAACAUGUCGACAUCCGAUUCUGAGUCGAGUACAGCAACAACAGCGGAAAAUAUUGAAUUGAGCAGGCGGGAAUUCGAUUUAGAAGACGAAGAACAAUCGUCAUCAAAUGUGCUCCGAAACACCGAUGGCGAUUUUGAGUACGGCCAAGUUGCAGCGUAUGAUCAUGAAAACGAACCACUUGCUGGUGAUGAGUGGUUAGAAAAGUAUAAUAGAGAGACAGAAGAAGAAAGACGCCAAACAGAAGAGCUCGAACGCAGAGUGCAAAAUGAGUUCCUCUUGAUUCUUGGUGCAAUUGUGGUAACUGCCGUGUUCCUCUCUUGGUUAAUCCAAAAGAAUGUAGAUGUUGCCACGAAAUUACCAAUUGUAUGAUUGAAAUGCAAGAUCAUAUAGUGGUAUCCGAAUUAGGAAGACAGCCAAAAUGCAUCACAGACCAUCCAGGAUUUGAUGCUAUUUACCUCAAUCGAUGGGCAUUAAAUUUAGAUGCCAAUCUUUACCAAAGAUGAGAUGCAGUUAGAUAACGUAAAGGAUUCUUGGAGCAAAGGUGAUACUUCAGCUAUAUGAAACAAUAAAGUGAGUCAGUUCCAAAAACAAGAUUCAAAUUCACUCAAAGCAAAAAAUGAAUUUUUGUAAAACCUGGCUUGGUUGGGGGAACAUGUACAGCUGGCAUGCUUUGUCUUCUUGCUUUUUUUGAGAUAGGUUCACUUUUUGAUUGCUUGUCCAACAUGGAAUUCAUUGGCAAUGCAGUCAUUCGUAAUAGAUCAACUUUGGCUUUUCUCAAUGUUUCCUCAUCAAUGAGUGCAGAGCACAACACUUGAUAUAUAUCUUCAACAUACCCUGGAGGAGCAAUGUGCAAAUUAUUCAAAAUUUUAUUUUAUAAUAAUCAUUUUUAUUAUGGCUUUGACUAUUAUGGCAUUUAACACAUGAUAUCAGGCAGUAGGAGAAAUGUAUUAAAUAACCUUACCAAAAUCCUGAGCAACUUUUGCAUUUCUUACAACAGCUUCACCAUUUUUAAAUUUUGAAUAAUGCACUUUAACCUGGGAAACUCCAGUUAAAGCUGCAAACAUCUUAUUGUAUGAUAUAGAAUUUAAAGACAAGGCAAUGAAUAAGAGAUUAUUACACACAGAAUAUUUCUUUUUAAUAGCAACAAGAAUUGUUUAAGAUUUUUUAUCUUCAUUUAGCCAAUUGCAUGGUUUUAUGUUGGAAUCCUGAGCACAUUUGUCAAAUAAAGGGUCUGAAAAUCCAUUGUGUUGGUUUUUGACAUGACCAAGGAAAGAUACUUAGCCACAAUCACAUUUCCAUUACCAGAGGAUGUUGAUGUAGCACUCCAGUACAAAUGGUUGGAAUAAGGUCUUAUACAGCUUGAGAAAGACUCACAUCAAGCACAUGCUGCAAGUUUGGUCAGGACUUUGGUCACUUCUAAGAUGAAAUAUAAAAUAUGUUUUAGAUAAACACUUCAAUUGUUGAUGCCAGUAAAAGUAGUAAAUUGUA